rnacentral:rRNA from 1 species
CCCCUAGAUGUUCUGGGCCGCACGCGCGCUACACUGAACAGUUCAACAAGUCUUAACCUUGGCCGAUAGGUCUGGGUAAUCUUUGAACGCUGUUCGUGAUUGGGAUAGACCUUUGCAAUUAUGGGUCUUCAACGAGGAAUUCCUAGUAAACGCAAGUCAUCAGCUUGCAUUGAUUACGUCCCUGCCCUUUGUACACACCGCCCGUCGCUGCCCGGAACUGAGCCAUUUCGAGAAAAAUGGGGACAGACUGCUUGUGGGUGCGCAAGCACUUCUUGCAGAUUGAAACCAUCUUGAUCGGUAUGGCUUGAACCGGGCAAAANUCGUANCA